UACGUAGGGGGCAAGCGUUGUCCGGAAUCAUUGGGCGUAAAGAGCGUGUAGGCGGCCCGAUAAGUCCGCUGUGAAAUCCCGGGGCUCAACCCUGGGCGUGCAGUGGAUACGGGCAGGCUGGAGGCAGGCAGGGGAGAACGGAAUUCCCGGUGUAGCGGUGAAAUGCGCAGAUAUCGGGAGGAACACCGGUGUCGAAGGCGGUUCUCUGGGCCUGUGCUGACGCUGAGGAGCGAAAGCGUGGGGAGCAAACAGG
rnacentral:rRNA from 1 species